ACCGGCUUCUUGGCUUAAUGGUUACGGCUUCUGUCUCACAAGCAGAAGAUACAGGGAUCAAUCCCGGUCGGUA
rnacentral:tRNA from 1 species